rnacentral:rRNA from 1 species
GAUGAACGCUGGCGGCGUGCCUAACACAUGCAAGUCGAACGGGGGCAGACGGAAACCUAGUGAAGUCUGUCCGAGUGGCGGACGGGGGAGUAACGCGUGGAUAACCUGCCGCAUGCAGGGGGAUACCGGCUGGAAACAGCCGCUAAUACCGCAUAAGCGCACGGUGCCGCAUGGCAGAGUGCGAAAAGGAGAAAUCCGGCAAGCGAUGGAUCCGCGUCCGAUUAGCCAGUUGGCGGGGUAAUGGCCCACCAAAGCGACGAUCGGUAGCCGGCCUGAGAGGGCGGACGGCCACAUUGGGACUGAGACACGGCCCAG